GUGCUCACUUUUGCAGCACAUUUUAAAAAUUGGAAUGAUAAAAAGGAGAUUAUGGCCCACAUCAUGGAUGACAUACAAAUUCAUGAACUAUUCUACAUUUUC